rnacentral:lncRNA from 1 species
CACUGAUCCUCGCGCAUGCGCAGCACGGCUCAUGACCCUCCACGCGAAAUCGGCUCCGGCUAGGCAAGUGUAGCUAACGCUACAAAAUGCUGCCACUCGGCAGUCAAUGCUACUGAGAAAAUGAGAGCGCAGCACGUGGCCUGGACUUUACAAUCAAUUCUCAAAGUCAGCUAGAUUUCGCUCGCUCUUCUCUCGGCAAAUGAUGCUAUAAACCCAAAGUCCAUGGCUGUCGGCCAAUUUGAGCAUCGUGAGCUGCAUAGCUACUGCGGCCGCUGUGAAAUGCCGCAACGUGCCAUGCGCACGCACACGGUCACUCUGAAACUAAACCACGCAUUAGAAGAAAAAAAAGAAAAGUAUUCAAGCGAGCUCGCUGGUGUGAAAGAAGAGAAAAAGCAUUUAAGCUUGCAACAAAUCCCUGCAACUCCGCUCGUAGUUGACUGAAUCUAAAAAUUUUUACGGCAUUCGAUUCGUGAGGCAAUAAACUCCUUUAGUGAAGCUAUUUGAUGAUUACUUGUAAAAGUGUUUCAGGACCCCUUUAAAGGAAAACUAAAGGCUAAUGAAAGGCUUAUGCAAAGUCUGGACAUGUGGUGCCCGCGAAGAGAGAACUUAUAACUCCUGCGCAAGAUUUAAAUGCUGUUUGAAUCUGAUGAUAUUGACACUUACAUAAUGACAUAAGUUUACUCCUACCCUACGAAAUUUCGUGUCGUUUGAAGAAAACAUUUGCAUCAAGUAAGCUAGGGCAACUUGUUCUGGUGUGUCUCAAAAGAUAUUUUACAUUCGAACUUGAAUAUAUCAAAUCUGAAGUAGGUCAUGAAAGAAUUAUGUAUAUAUGUAAUUUGAUAUACUAUAAGGUAUCUUAUGUAUCGAAAAUAUAUACAAGGGGAUUUUACAACAAAGUGUUUGAUCUACACUUUAAUUGAUUCGUUAUAUGUAGGUUCGAUAUAUGCGUGUUUGACUGUAUUUUAUUCCUCUGAAGAGCACCAAAAAGGAAAUGCAGGAACAGCAAGAAAAGCGUAAUACUAUACAAAUUGUAGAUUUUUCAAGCGGGCUUAUCUUUUACGCAAGGCUGCCAUAUAUCCUUUACUAGAAAGCAACGGCCAGUACAAUUAUUGGGUUUAGGAUAACAGCCAUAUUUUUUGUAGACAGCUUAUUGGAUUUUUGUCUAACUUGAGUCUCAGCUCAGCUUGGGAUGGAUGAGUAUUCAUUGCUUAUUUAUGCAGUCAUUAUCUGAAAGCUUUCAUGUUUAUCAUAAGUAAACCAAAUUUUAGCAGUGUUACACCUAGUAGUAGCAGAUGUCUUGCGCAUGCUGUAUAAAAUGUCUUUAUUUGAAUUCUUUCACACGUAGUUACUUCUAUUUUAAGUAAAGUACAUCAGCUUUUACCGUGCGUCAUUUCACAAAUCUAAUGUCACUAGACAUGGUGAAAGAAAAUACAUUUUUCUCUGUGACAGAGUCAUUAAUUGCUGAGGAGACACUAAAUUGAGAGGGUAAAUCUGCCACAGUUUAAAUUUCCGGAGAAAAAGGGAGAAAUAUUUUAUUGCUUAUAAGUUAGCACUGCAAUGAACAGUGCACACUUCGCUGGAGAUCUUAGAAAACGUAUGCAUAUCACAAUAUUGCUUGACGUAGCUUGUCAUUUUGCUUUAAUAGAGAGAGUCGCUUACAGAACAACCAUUGUCUCUCUCUCGCAACUUACAGCUUUCUUUACUGCUUGUGAAACACCAUAGUCAUUGCGAAUUUUGUAGAAUUCAAAGUUGGCAAGAUUUGUACUAGCAUUUUAUGCCAUAAUGGGAUGGGUGCAUUCCGGCAUGAUGGCGUGAUGUUCUGGCAGCUUUCGCGAAAUGGCAUGUCACUUUUUGCAUGCGCCGCAUGACAAAACGUGCAGCCAAGGGCAUUCUUCAGUAGCGUCAUUUCACUUGUGAUAGCGAGUUAUACUUAGUGUUCGCACUGGUUUGUGAAGCUUCUUGUCUGCAGCCUCCUGUGUGUCAAGUGUACCUCCAAGAUGAGCGCUCAUCUAGCGUGUUGCUUCCACUGUAACGUUACACUUAGUGUUCAUGUUUGGUGCUCACACAUUGUUGUGUCAACGUAUCCAAAGCCUUUCAUGUGUUGUACGUGUAAUCUUGUAACAAAAGACAGGCUGCAAGAAUCGCGGUGGCACGCACCAAGAUCUUUCAGGCAACAGCCGCAAUUCGCCGAGUGCACACUAGAUGGUGCCGCGUUAUUGCACUUUGCCGAACAAAGUGCUUUAUACUCUGGGCUUUGCUAGCGCAACUUUUCCAAUGUGCACUCAAAGCACCAAAUCAAGAGUGCAUGUAUCAGUAGGACUGUGCAACAGGUGCCUGAACUUGCUAGUCUGUUCAGUCAGUUUCAUUGGAGGACCUUACAUUGGAGGAACUUACUAGAUUUUUUUUAAUUGCUUGUUUCUUAAGCAUGUGCAUUUAGCAUUUUAGAUUUGCCUUUUAGGCAAAAGCUGCAUUAGAAAGUGAAAAAGAUACAUAGGAAGGAUUAUUAAAGGAGGUAAAAAAUAAGUUCUACGUAUUGAUAAAACAGUGCAUUGAAUACUGUCAUAGCAAGUGGUCUAUGGAGAUCAUCUUCAGGUGUGCAUUUAAAGGUAGAAAGAUGGCAUUUAUGUUAGUGUUCCCUUUCAAAAAGAUUAGCUGUUCAGAGCAAGCAACCAUGGCUGUUGCCGUGUUGUUUGAGGUUAUAGGGAAUUGCACAUAAUCUGUCACCAUAGAUCUGGUAGCACAAGAUAUCCUUAUGGCAAGAGUGCUAAGUGAACUCAGAAAUAUGCUGUUGUGUCACGGUUUUGCCUGCUUUCUGUGCUUGGAAAUGAGAUAUUUUUGUUGACUCUCGACUCAGUGUUUCCCUUUUCUUCUCUGUUUCAACAGAAACAAUUUGUUGCAGUUGAAUAUCUGGAGGUAGUCUUCGCGUGCAUGGACAUCCUUUAAGUGGUCGCGUUAGCACGAAUAUAAAAUUUUAGGGAGGCCCGGUUAGGUUGUGGCCACUAAGUGGCUAGUUUUUGAGAAGCUUUCAAUAUUUCAUUGAGUAGUGUUAGUCAGAAUUGAAGACACACAUUGACAGACAAUGUCACUGAGUGGAGACAGUCUUUGCCUCAUAUUAGUCAAGACACGGCUGUCAGCACAACUCAUUAUAUGAAGGUUCUCACUUCGUCACAGUACUAGUAGUUUCGCUUAUGCAUGUACUGCAAAUGCCUGGGAUUAACAAGUGUGGUGGCUUGACAGCUAUUGCUUCUCACCGCUCAGCACAAGGUUGCAGGUUCAAUUCCCGACAACGGCGGUCGUAUUUUGAUGUGGGCAAAACGAUAAAAUGCUUGGGUACUUAGAUUAAGGUGCACAUUAAGGGAUUCUAGGUGGUCAAAGUUAAUUUGGAGCACCACAGUAUGGCAUGCCUUAUAACCAUGUUGUGUAAUCAAUGCUCAACAUUCUGGAGGACGAAAAAACAAAGAACACUGACAAGGGCAAUUGUUGUUUCUGUCAUUUUGUAGUUUCAGCAUUUAAAACCCCAACGCCUAUUAUUUAGCUUCACUGCAGUACAGUCAUGUGGUGCGGUGAGGUAUACAAAUAGAGGGGGGGAAAAAGCUAAAUGCCAUGCAGUAAAGCACGCUACCAGGGGCCUGUGGCAAACUCUGCUGCAAUCCCUUUUGAACUAUGUAUGCAUGAGUUCGACUGUAUUGGCCAAACACUGAGAUAUCUCUGUGAACUCAUGUGGAUUCUUUACCAGUAGAUCUUCUUUGACUUUAUACAUUGACGAGCUCUUAAUUUGACAUUUUUUAGCUGAUUGUGUGAGAUACAAAAUAAUGAGAUUUUACAGUACAGGGGCAGGUUCACAAGGUUAUUUUUAGUACAGCAUUUAAUCGAGUUGCAAACGAGGUGGAAACAGGGUUUACUAGUGCUCGAGUAGGUGGUUGUGCUGGAUUUUUGGCUAGACCAUUUUUGUAUCAGUCUUCUGUCUUUGUGCCAGUAAUUUUCAUGCCUGCCUUCUGAUACAUAUCGAGCUACUAGACAGCACCGUUCCAUUCAUUUCUCAAUUUCAUUUCAUGGUUAAAAUCACUGCCACCAUUCACCUUUCUUGAAAUAGCCAAGGUGACUGCAACCUACCGUGAAGAUCCUGUACAACUAUGCUGCUGAGUACAACAUUCUUUUUCCACCACUGCAACAUUCCAGUAGGGACAAGAUAAUAUGCAAACACCAUUGUGCAGAUGUGGUGCACAUGAAUUUUGUUUUGUAAUGACAUUCUUCAUAUUGUUUUAGUUGGUCGCUUUGAAGGUUCUUUAAUGUAGUCGUGCCUUUGCUACUCUUCAUAAUCCACCGCUUGGCACAGCAUCGUGUCGCUUGUUUUUUACUUUUAGGUGUUUAUUUUGCAGAUCACUCUUUUUUCUUAGCACAUUGCACAAUUCACAUUGAGCUUUUUUUGUGUGAUAUCUCUUGGUGUUUUUUAUGAGCUUCGAUCAGUUUACAUUCCCCUAGCCACUGAUUCAGUGUAAUAUUGAACGUUGGACCUUUAAAAUGCUUGUCUUAAAUAAAACGCAUGGUAGUUCAACGCAUGGAACCACGCAUGGUAGUUCAAGUUGACCUCAAGCCAUGCACCAUAGCACACUUCAUUGCCAUAGUGUAGCUGUAGGGCGUGUAGCUCAACUCACAUGUUCUGUUAACUGUACUUCAGUAUCAUUUGGCUUAUGUUAGCCUUAAAUAACCUCAUUUGUACACUACAUGCAUUACGAAUGUCUAGGGAAAACACUAGUUAGGCUAGUCAUUGUGGUGUAACUUUUGCAUGAUUAUUUUACUGAGAGAAUGUAUGAAGAGCUGAGUGAAAAAAAGUGGCUGACGGGGGCGCUGGCGUCCUUGUGUGUAGCAUUUCUUGAAUGUGCAUGUGGAUACUUCCAUCUGUGCCUGUACUUGCUUGGUUAUGUUAUGUUACUCGGGUGUGCAUAUAUUACCGCGUCUCUAAAAAAUUAUACAGGGUACACGCCAGUAGUAAGUCUUGCAUCCUCAUAAGUUUUGAAGACCUGUUUAGUAAAGAUUUUCAGAUAUUAUUGACAUGUAUACCUGCCAAGUUUGACGUAAGUGACUCUGAUAUAACGAAAUAUCUUAAAAUGAUUUCUUUCACUUCUACUUCAUCUGCAGAGGCUUCAAGGUGUUUGUAUUGGCUUGCAUCGUAUGUUACACAAUUUUUUCUUUUCAUAUUGGCUUACCUUUGCAUUAUCUCUCCGACAGAGCAGCCUACAUUGUGCGAGCUUGUCACUAAAAGCUGCUGCUAUAUAAAAUGGCGAGGGGUCAACAACGUUGCAAACAGAGCAGUUGCAGAAAUGUAACGUAGGGGUGUGUGAAUAACAAGUUCUCGACAAGUUGUAUACAGAUUGAGUACUGUCAGCGUCAAAUCAAAUGCUGAAAUGCUUCUGCAAGAGUUUUCUGUUUUAAAAGCUGUUUACAUAGUCAACACAAAACACUGUUCACCUUUUAAAACGUCUGUGCUUCUCACAUACAAAGAAAUUGGCAUGUUUAUGCAGGACAUUGACAUCCUAGUAUAGAACAUUCACAACGUUAUCAGCUGUCUUUCCAUCGUACGUUAUCGAGCUGUUUACUGAAUGGGCAACUAGAGCAUCAGGUGUAAAUAAGCAGUUUAUUUACAUAGCCAAACGCGUCUCGUUCAGUCCAAGUGAUCGCAGUCAAGAGGGAAAUGUCUCGCCUCAUAAGUGACGUAGUUCCGCUACGCAACUUCUCCCGUUAAAUAUCUGCUAUAGCCACCUAAAUUAUCUUUUUUUCACUCUAGUUUUACAUUUCCAAGCACUUAAGUUAUACCCUUGUUACACAGGCAAGUUAACCGCAGUUACGGCCAACCACGGUUAACCGCGUUGAACCACGGUUAGCGCCAACCACGGUUCGCCGAUGUUACACGGCGCACAGGCGUCCUCGGUUAAAGCGGACUCGCUUUGGCGUGAAUGGCUCUGCGUCUGGCGGCAGUCUGGCGUUCAACUCGGUUGCCAUUGCCGCGUCCACAUUCGCAUUCCUUGAGGUGCUCUGUAGAUGACGCAUAUCGUUUUCCCAAAGCCUAAUCAGGCUUUCCGUGGCUCGUGCAGGUCAAUUUGUUCGUUUUUCACGAAUGCUCGCGGCGUGAACACACCCUCCAUGGAGGCCACCAUUUUCUCUGUUAACUGCCAAACCGAGGUCGCCAAGCUCGGUGUGGUACAACCGCGGUUAGCGGCAUAACUGCGGUUUCACAUACCGUGUAACAUAAGCGAACCGCGGUUACACUAACCGAGCCUUAAGCUGUCUGUGUAACAAGGGUAUUAUUCAGGAACUGUUCAAGAAAGGUUUAUAUUCAUGGACACAGUUAAACCUGCUUAUGUAAUGAACUUCAAUCUAACAAAGUUCUCGAUACAAUGAAGUAUUUCAGUUGUAACUGUUUACUUUGAAGCACAGAUUACCUUGACUCUUCACAGACGGGUCAAGGGUCAAUCUAUGCUGAGAGGAAUUUGUCUCUGUUUCACAUAAGGUGUGGUCUUUACAUACCAAUGCAGUACACUUGAGGAUGCAUUUUUUUGCAUAAAAAGCACAUAUUGCCAUGUAUUUAUCAGGCGCUUAAUUCAAAACAGCGUGAUGAAUUCAAUAUAGCUCAUUUUCAUAGCAAACCUGAUACAUGCACUACAUUCCAGAAGAAGGCAUGAAAGUGUGAAAAAGUAUGCUCUGUGUGUUCAAGCUUCCAAGAUAUUCCCUGGUAGGCUUGUUUUGUGUUGCGGUCUCAUUUUAAAACUAGCAUGAAGCUUUGUUAUGCUGCACAACAUUGUUAGUGAUUUAUGGACAAUUUUGCUUAUGGUUAGAAUGUUUGCCUUGUCAGUGUGAUAGAAAAACAUGCAAAAAAAGAAGGCACCUGUGCUUUUUUUGCAUCUUUAUUUUCAUAAAGGGUACUUGCACUUUUAGCAGUGUUUCGCUACUACAGUCAUUGUUGAAGUCACUACUAUGUGGCACAUUUAGUCAUGUUAAUGUGGUUUUUUUUGCACGUGUUCUUAGUCUCAGCUGCUCAAUAAUGGAUAACUGCAUUAUGCUGUUAGUAUAAACAUGCUGUGAUCACAAUUGUAGCCCUAAAAGCUUGUUGCUUUCUUGCACCUGUAUUUAAAUAUUGUGCACGGAAUAAAGUCGCAGUUGCGUUGUUCGCUGA